CACAAUGGGCGCAAGCCUGAUGCAGCCAUGCCGCGUGUAUGAAGAAGGCCUUCGGGUUGUAAAGUACUUUCAGCAGUGAGGAAGGUGGGUAUGUUAAUAGCAUAUUCAUUUGACGUUAGCUGCAGAAGAAGCACCGGCUAACUCCGUGCCAGCAGCCGCGGUAAUACGGAGGGUGCGAGCGUUAAUCGGAAUUACUGGGCGUAAAGCGCAUGCAGGUGGUUUGUUAAGUCAGAUGUGAAAGCCCGGGGCUCAACCUCGGAAUUGCAUUUGAAACUGGCAAACUAGAGUACUGUAGAGGGGGGUAGAAUUUCAGGUGUAGCGGUGAAAUGCGUAGAGAUCUGAAGGAAUACCGGUGGCGAAGGCGGCCCCCUGGACAGAUACUGACACUCAGAUGCGAAAGCGUGGGGGAGCAAACAGGAUUAGAUACCCUGGUAG
rnacentral:rRNA from 1 species